rnacentral:rRNA from 1 species
AUUGAACGCUGGCGGUAUGCUUAACACAUGCAAGUCGAACGGUAGCAGGCCUUCGGGCGCUGACGAGUGGCGGACGGGUGAGUAAUGCAUAGGAAUCUGCCUAUUAGUGGGGGACAACGUGGGGAAACUCACGCUAAUACCGCAUACGCCCUACGGGGAAAGCUGGGGACCUUCGGGCCUGGCGCUAAUAGAUGAGCCUAUGUUGGAUUAGCUAGUUGGUAGGGUAAAGGCCUACCAAGGCGACGAUCCAUAGCUGGUCUGAGAGGAUGAUCAGCCACACUGGGACUGAGACACGGCCCAGACUCCUACGGGAGGCAGCAGUGGGGAAUAUUGGACAAUGGGCGAAAGCCUGAUCCAGCAAUACCGCGUGUGUGAAGAAGGCCUGAGGGUUGUAAAGCACUUUCAAUAGGAAGGAAU